rnacentral:rRNA from 1 species
AUUGAACGCUGGCGGCAGGCCUAACACAUGCAAGUCGAGCGGGUUUCGGACCUAGCGGCGGACGGGUGAGUAAUGCGUAGGAAGCUACCCGAUAGAGGGGGAUACCAGUUGGAAACGACUGUUAAUACCGCAUAAUGUCUACGGACCAAAGUGUGGGACCUUCGGGCCACAUGCUAUCGGAUGCGCCUACGUGGGAUUAGCUAGUUGGUGAGGUAAUGGCUCACCAAGGCGACGAUCUCUAGCUGGUUUGAGAGGAUGAUCAGCCACACUGGAACUGAGACACGGUCCAGACUCCUACGGGAGGCAGCAGUGGGGAAUAUUGGACAAUGGGCGCAAGCCUGAUCCAGCCAUGCCGCGUGUGUGAAGAAGGCCUUCGGGUUGUAAAGCACUUUCAGCGAGGAGGAAGAGUUGUGUGUUAAUAGUACACAGCUUUGACGUUACUCGCAGAAGAAGCACCGGCUAACUCUGUG